AAUGUUUAUGUAAUCUAUAUUUGGUAUUACGAUUUUGUUACUAACUUAUCAAGUCACUUGGAUUGAAAAAUUAUUAAAAACUAGCUAGUAUACUCUUCUUCUUAGUAGGCUAAUAAUGAUUCCCAUUAAGUAUGGAAAUAUAAAUACUUACUAAUUCAUGAUAAUUUAGUAUUCGUACCACCUAGGAAUAUGUAAUGGUUUUACUACUUCACUAACACCUUUUACAACUAUUCAACUAGAGAUAAAUGGUAAUAAUUUUAAUACUUUUAACAGAAAAUAUGGAGAAUUACCGAGGUAUUACAAACUGUGAAUCAAACGAGUUGUAAAGAUGAAAUAGCUAUUGUAUCAAAUUACAUACAUCAAGACUUUUUUAAAAAUAAAAACCAAACUCUUAAAUUCUAAUCACACAAUAAAAUGCUCGUACCGAAUAAUUACUAAUCAU
rnacentral:lncRNA from 1 species